rnacentral:piRNA from 1 species
UCCUAGGAGUGGACAUUUCCCUGUCUCC